CUCUGUGACUCCUACGGGAGGCAGCAGUGGGGAAUAUUGCACAAUGGGGGAAACCCUGAUGCAGCCAUGCCGCGUGUGUGAAGAAGGCCUUCGGGUUGUAAAGCACUUUCAGUAGGAGGAAGGUAGUGUAGUUAACACCUGCACUAUUUGACGUUACCUACAGAAGAAGCACCGGCUAACUCCGUGCCAGCAGCCGCGGUAAUACGGAGGGUGCGAGCGUUAAUCGGAAUUACUGGGCGUAAAGCGCAUGCAGGCGGCCUGUUAAGUCAGAUGUGAAAGCCCGGGGCUUAACCUCGGAAUUGCAUUUGAAACUGGCAGGCUAGAGUCUUGUAGAGGGGGUAGAAUUUCAGGUGUAGCGGUGAAAUGCGUAGAGAUCUGAAGGAAUACCAGUGGCGAAGGCGGCCCCCUGGACAAAGACUGACGCUCAGAUCGCGAAAGCGUGGGGAGCAAACAGGAUUAGAUACCCUCGGUAG
rnacentral:rRNA from 1 species